UACGGGGGGAGCAAGCGUUGUUCGGAUUUACUGGGCGUAAAGGGCGCGUAGGCGGCGUGACAAGUCACUUGUGAAAUCUCCGGGCUUAACUCGGAGCGGCCAAGUGAUACUGUCGUGCUAGAGUGCGGAAGGGGCUACUGGAAUUCUCGGCGUAGCGGUGAAAUGCGCAGAUAUCAGGAGGAACACCGGUGGCGAAGGCGGAUCUCUGGGCCAUUACUGACGCUGAGGAGCGAAAGCGUGGGGAGCGAACAGG
rnacentral:rRNA from 1 species